CACACACACACACACACACACACACACACACACACACACACACACACACACACAUGCACGCAUGCACGCACGCACGCAGCAGUGGUGUAGCUCAGUGAUAGAGGGAUUGCUUAGAGUGUCAGAGGCUGGUUCCCGACGCCUGCACCAAGCACCACACUACCCCCUGCACUUUGGAAGCCUUUGACAUAGCCGCAGCAGAACAGACCUCUACAGUGACGACUGGAUUUUCUCACUGGUCUCACUUCACAGCUUUGAACUCCAAGACUGAUUAGUGUGGGCUUAUGUAAUUGGGUGCAAUGGACCUGAAAUCCUGAGAAAUAAAAGACUAACGCAUAAGGCGGCGGUGGGGGUGCUAAUCCAGCAUGUGAAAAGUGGUUCGGCUGCCUCUGGACUCUUCCCCUCCCCCACCCCCACCCCCACAAAGGCUUAUUUUACAAGGUGAUCAAGUGCCGAGAACACCAGCCUCCGCCUGAGCGAGGUGGUGAGGCCAAGCACAGGUUGACUUUCUCGGUGACCAUGUUAGCGGGGAGCUGAUGCCUCACAGUGGGUGGGGGUGUUAGUUGGAAAGGGGCCCAAAGCACAAACACCCGUCAUGCCUGUGCUACUGGUGAAGGGCACACAGCUAACACCAUGGACAAACGCAGCUUUGUAACGUGGAAAGUUUGGGGUUAGGGAUACAUUUCCAAGAAAGAAAUAUGUCCAGUGACCAAAGGAGUUUUAAUGUCCCACAGGAGUCAGCUUUGCCCUGGUGAGGGAGGAGGUAGGAGGCUGCCCUAGCUCACCCCCACAGCACUGCCUAUCUUAAAGCAUAUCACCUAGGUUGUUUUCUGGAAAGCCUGGCUUCCGCCGGAUGAGAGAGCAUCUAUGAACCUGAUGUGACAUCCCUUCCUUCAGACAUAAUUGACAGUGGUUGCCAUUCCUUGGGGUACACCUUCCUCCCUUCCUCCUGCUCCCAUUAAACUGAGCACAGAGGUGCUUGAACUGUGAACUUUGGAGAAGCCUCAGUCUCCAGGUUGCUGGAUUCUGGGGUUGCUGGGUUCUGGGGUUACUACUAGUGUUUCUUCGGGUUUUUUCUUAGUUGAGUGGAGUCUUUUUUUUUUUUUUUUUCUUCAUCAUAACUUGCCUGUUAGGAAUGGUACAUGACUUGGCUUAACUGUUGGUUAUGAACUGAAAAUCGGAUGUGCUUAGGAAUCUUAACAUGAUUGGAUGGGACCUUGAUGGGGAGCCAUGGUUUUGUAGCCUUUUAUUUUUUAAUUAUUAUUUUUUUUGUAAUGUAUCCAUCUUAGACCUUAUUUAAAUAAAGCACUUUUGGAAGC
rnacentral:lncRNA from 1 species